GUUUGCACAUGAAUAUCUUUUUUUUCCUUACCAGAACAGUGGAAACUGCAUAAACUAAUUCAAAUGCUUUUAUUUUACUUCUUUACAUGCAUACAUUCUACCAGCAUUCUCUACCUUCAGCUUCCUGAUGAGUAAUGAAAGACAGAAAGAAAAUGAAAUAUGGGUUGUCCUGUUUUUUUCUUUCCUCCUUUGUCAUCAUUUUCAAUGUAAGUAGGUCAUUAACACAGGAAACUAAUAUGCAUAAGAAAGUAUGGUAAGUUUCCUUGGUUGUUCAUGUUUCUUAGAACACUAUUGUUUUCUUUCUGUGUUUGAAGCAAGCUCUGGUUUGAAUAAAAAUCAUGGCCUUUUGGGGCUAUCAGUGCCUUUGCUUCCUCAGUAGUGGACAUAAGACACCGACCGUGAAUACUUGACUUGAGUCUCUAUGAACUUCCACUUAGCGUGGGUCCACCAGAAUCCUGUGCUCCUGGACAUCACGAACACUGUGUGAAUUGGGAGCUAAGGAAUACAACAGGCCAAGAUGCCUGCAUUUUGCUUUGUAUCUCCUCUGUUCCAGUGUAUAUUCCCCUGACACACUGGACCUCACUUACGAAUAUGUUUAAAUAUGAAAUUGUUGGCAAUUUCAACAUGGCAAUAGCAGAGCCCUUUUGAGUGCAAGGCACUGUAUGACUACUCAGGUCCUACAUCUCUGAAGUGGGCCUUGCUCAGGGCCAUUAGAUGAAUUGAAAGCUGGAUUGGCCUCACACCAUUUUUCCAGUCAACCCCAAACAUGCUACUAAAGAUAGAAAUAAUUGGCCUGGGAGGGUUAGGUGUGAUCAGAGGCGAUCAAGCCAAGGUGAGAUGGACUUCCAAAGGAUUCUUGCCAGGCAGCUUGGAAAAUAGUCUGGAGAAGCCAGUUAGUUGCUCGACACCAUGCUCAGUAAACACCUUCCACAGGCUGAGGGACUUUCUCAGAAUGGCCUGGGUUCUUGUGAGAUGGUUCACUCCUGCAGUAAAUUGCUGUGCUGAUUUGACAGUAGAUGAUAAAUCCAGCAGCCAGAAAGCAAGCAAUAAUCACACUGCAACCCUGCCUCAUAAUGCAUGCAACAUUUUUUGAAGUAUUUUCAUCCUCAUUAGCUUAUUCAUGCUCAUAUCUCUAUGAGAAAGGCAGGAAUUUUUUUCCAUUUUACAGCUGAGAAAGCUUAGGAAGUCUAGAAUAGGACUGUCUAACAGAACUUUAUGCAAAGAUGGAGAUGUCCUUUACCUGUGCGUCUAAUAUAAUCAUCACUAGCCACACAUGGCUAGUACCACUGAAAAGCUGAAGUUUAAACUGAUUUAAUUUGAAUUAAAUUCAAGUAGCCACAUGUAUCUAGUGGCUUUUAUAUUGGACAUGCAACUGGAGAACAUACAUAGUGAUGCACUCUCUCUACACAUUCACUCACUAAAUUACCAGGAUCAGAGCCUGAGAGUCUAGGAACUUCUCAAGAGCAGGCUCUUAACCAGGCACUUUUGGCAUCUGGGGCCCGUCACUCAAGAUCAGCUAAUCUGCCUGGCCCUCAGGACACUUCCUCCCGCCUUGUUCAAGUCAACAGCCAGGGGAACAGACGUUACACCACACAUCUCCAGGUGGUGCUAGGUUGGCAGUCAUGUUUUAGGAAGCCAGCAAGAGGUCUUUUGGAUCUAGAUAUGCCUGUCUGUCUCUUAGAAGAUUAACAAGGCAAGGACAUCAGACAAUCCCAAAAUGCUAAUCCCAUUAUCUUUUCAACUCUGUGGAAAAAUACCAUCCUUCAUUUUCUCAGAUUUCAUUUGCAUUCAAGGAAGCUAAAAGUGGUCAAGAUGCUUUCCUUCUGGGGUCCCAUGUUACAGGAAUCUAAAGCCUACUUGAUUGACCUGACUGUUUUUACCCUGGGAAGAGGCGUAAUUAACCCUGUUCAUCUCUAAGACGAGGUUACAGCAGCCCCUAUGCCAACUCUGGGAACUCCUAUUCAACGUUACUGACCCGUUCAUUCCCAUACCAUCAGAAUGAAUUUCACUUCAGGCCUAACCUUGCCAUCAUUGUUUCUCCCAAUCCUGGUACAAGCCAUUUUAGUGUUAGUAUACUUCAUCAGGUGGGAAGUGUAUUUACCUGAAACACUCCUCCUCUCCCCCACACUACUAACAACUCCCAAUUUCUUUCAGUUGAUCUGUUGGCCAUUUAUUCAAAUACUGCUAGGUGCUGAAGAGAUGCUAAAAAAACAUACAGUUACAGUCCCUCGUCUCCAUCUCCAAGCUUCCCAGUCUCAAACCAGGUUGGGAAGGCAAGAUUCAAACUAGCCAUACUUGUCAGUAUCCGUCUGUUUAUUUACUAUCACUCAGAUAUCGACCAGAUGCUAGAAGAGUAUGUACUUAUAUUCCUAUGAAAAUGGUAUAUACAGUCACUGGAGAAUCUGCUCAUGAUCUCACUGUCAUCCAUCCAGAAAAGUUCGUUUUACAACUAGAAGUUUCAGUAUCCCCUGAUUAUCCAAACUUCCUACCACUGCUGACACACAGCAGUCAGCUACUAUUAUGAGACUUAUGAGCACUCAAGCGUAUGGCUUUCAAGUUUAUUAUUUCCCAGAAUCCUUGAGGACUACAAUACAAGAAUUUUCUCCAUCUCUUAUACCUCUUCCUAGUUUAAGCCAAUUUUCCUCCCCUGGAAUACCACAAUGACCUCUUAACUCAUCCCUACUAUCCAUUGUACACAAUUCAGCUAGAAUGAUACUUUAGAGAGAUAAUUUGAAGCACGCCAUUUCUCUAUUCUAAUACCUUUAAUGGCACAAUAUUGUUCUUAGAUUAAACACCCAAAUCCUGAAUAUGACUCACAGGUAUUGUUAGAUCAGCUGUGGCCUCUUCCUCUUCCUAUUUCAGCCAUUUUACCUUAGCUCUUUGUACUUCAGGCAGUAAGCCUUUUUAUGUUUAUUAAUCAAUUAAUUCAAUAGACACGUAUACAGAACCUGGGUGAAUAAGACGGAAAACUUCUUCACUUUUGUGGAACUUUUAUUUUAAUUAUAGAAAAUAGAUAAGUAAAAAGAAAAGAUAAUUUUAGGUUGUUGAAGGAAAUACAGUGAGGUCCUUCAAAGUAGCUUGGAAAAAGCCCUGCUGCAGAGAAGGUGCUAUGAGGGCUUCUCUUACAUGCCCCACUACUUUCUGUCCUAGGACCAUCACUCCUGCUAUUCCUUCUUCUUGGAAUCCCCUUCCAGAAUCUUCUACCACAACUUCUACCCCAUUCCACUGAGGCAUCUUCUGCUCAUUCUUCAGAACACAGUUCAGCUGUCUCUUUCUUAAGUAAUCUUUCCUCAAUCCCCAGGCAAACUCAGUUUUCCCUGUUACUUUUUCCUUAUUUCACUUACCUGAAUUAUAAUUAAAUAUUUGCUUAAUUAUUAUUAUUUUUUCCUAAUGUCUGUCUCUUUUACUGUACCACAAAAGGGCAGGGGCUGGAUCUUCCCUGUCACCUCAGGGCCCCACCUUGAGUCUGUCAUAUGUAGUUGUUUAGUCUGUAUCUGCUGAGUGAAUUGAUGAUAGUGGCUCACUACAAAGUGUUUCUCGCAUAGCAAGAGAUAAGAAAGGAAACAUGUAUACAUAUGUAACAAACCUGCAGGUUGUGCACAUGUACCCUAGAACUUAAAGUAUAAUAACAAUAAAAAAAAAAAGAAAGGAAACACUUCAGAAUAUCCCCCUGGUUGGUUCCGAUAUGCCUUCCAUACUUUGGACCAUCAUCCUCUCCUGUAUGCCAAAGAAUUGUGUAAGGCCCAUGCUGAUGGACACUGUGUGUCAGGGGAGGUAUCCAAGUUGGCUUUCCUACCAACGCAUAUGGAUAGUCUGUCUUUGCUGGAAAGAGCAUUGUGAUAGAUUACUGUUUAAAGGUCCCCUCUCCCACCCCUCCUGCCAUGCCUCUCUCCUUGACUUUGGCCUUAGCUUUGUUAAUUUGCCUUGGCCAAUAGACCGCUAGAAGAGCGACCACAAGCAGGGAAUUGACAUGUGGUUAGUAGCUGGGCACAUUGUCUUAUAUUUCUCUCUUCACCGUGAGAAGAGCUCCCUGUUGGCUGGGCCCCAAAUGAACACAUAUGGACAGACCUGAGCCCAAACUUCAGUGAAGAGCUAUGUCCAGCUGGACUAAGGCUUGGAGCGGAGCUGUGCAGCUGAGCCCAACCCAAAUCAGCUGAACCUCACUGACCUGCAGACAUUUGAGCUAAAUAAAUAUCUAUUACACACUGGCAAUGUUUUGUGGUUGUUUGUGAUGCAGCAAAUGCUAACUGACACAGACCUUAAAGCUUGGAUAGAUUUCUGCAAUUGGUCUGAAUGUGGUUCCUUUUUCCCAGGGGACUUAUGAACAAAAAGUUUAUCUGUCUCCAAUGAUGUACAUCUACAAUGAUGGAACAAAAACAAGAUUGUCACAUUAAACUUUCCAUUUGGAAGACCCAGAGCAGUCAAUAAUUAUUAACAAUUGUAAAGUCCUACUAGAUAAACAAUGUGAGGGGCUGUGAAGGCCAUGAGAAUGUGUCUGCAGGUUUUAAUACAGGGAGCACACUUGACCUAGAGGGGAUCCAGUGAUACAUCCUUCAUUGCCUUGGAGUAGAGGCCAUGUCUGCCAUGGUCUGCUCUUCACCAAAGACUUCGUGAGCAAGAGUUGGAAUCCUAAAACAGAAUUGUUCCUGGGAGACCUGGUACCCCUUUUUAGACCAACCUUAGCAGCUUUGCUGAGCCUGCCUUCCUCUGUAAAGCAGUUUAGGCACCUUUCCUCAACACACUCUCUCUCUUGCUUUCCUUCAUUCACAGUCUAAUGGGUUUCCCACCCUUGUCUAACUCUCUCCCUAUUUCUUUGCCUGCAGGUGUUUGCUCUACUAAAAUCCUUACAUGCUUAAUUUUGCCUAGGCAUUUGCUUUUUGGAGGAUCUAAACUAAAAGAAGUGGGAGUAAGUUUGGUUUAGGAAAAUAGGAGUAAGAUGAAGAUUUGGCACUGGCCUACUGACCACUCAGUGGAAAAUUAGACACCGCCCUGAUAGGCAGGUAGGAGAUGAAUAGCCCCUGGCACAAGGUGAAGUUUAGUGGCUAAUCAUUUUGCUGAUAAUGACCUGGAAAAAUGUCCUGGUGAAAGGGAAUGCUGAGGAAGGUGCCAUGGUGCUGGCAUUUGAGAUAUAUAGGAUGAACCAUGCCUGCCAACACAGUGAAAUUGGCUGGUUACCGCCUUGUUGAAAUUAGGUGCUUCAGAAGGAUAGCGUAAGAUUGCCUGACAUUAAUAUGUGAUUAAUGGCUAAGUGUGAGAACCACAAAGCUUGGAUGGCAGUAGCAUAUUGAAAGAGAGGGAUAAUCGGCCAGGUGCGGUUGCUCACGUCUGUAAUCCCAGCACUUUGGGAGGCUGAGGUGGAUGGAUCACCUGAGGUCAGGAGUUUGAGACCAGCCUGACCCACAUGGAGAAACUCUGUCUCUACUAAAAAUACAAAAUUAGCUGAGUGUGGUGGCACAUGCCUGUAAUCUCAGCUACUCGGGAGGCUGAGGCAGAAGAAUCACUUGAACCCAGGAGGCAGAGGUUACAGUGAGCUAAGAUCAUGCCAUUGCACUCCAGCCUGAGCAACAAGAGCAGAAGCCCAUCUCAAAAAAAAAUAAUAAUAAUAAAUGAGAGAGAGAAAGAGAGGGACAAUCAAAUGGCUAGGAGAACUAAUUGUGAGUGUUGCAGAGUUCCAAAGAUGAUUGAAAACUCAGUCAAAUCAGUUCUACUAUGUGAAGGUCAGAGCCCUAGGAAGGAAAACUACAGAUUCUGAUAACUGUGACAGUGCUAUCUGGAUUUUCCCAAGGAUGUUGACUCUGCAACCCUCUCUGGAUUCUCUUGGUGUGCAGAAGUUGCCACCUUUCCCUUCUGUAGAAAGAUCUACCACUUCAACUAUGCUAGAAGAUGCUUCAGAACCUCUCCACACAGGUAACCCAUACCCUGUUCUGCCCUCACCACUUCUACUGGCCGCCAGACCUAUAACUAGGGACUGGAUAUUUAAGAGUUCUUGGUCAAAGGGCCAACGUUUAAAUCUGAAUAAGCAAGAGUUUAUUGACUUGGGGAGAGUUUUUGGAAAAUAAGUUUUAAUACCCUAACAAAGACCCAAGUGAUGGGGCACAUGUAUUAUUGGAGUGGCUCUCAGAAACUGGAAAAAACAGCACCAUUUAUUGAAUAGGAGAUCAUUUUCCCAUUGUUUGUUUUUGUCAGGUUUGUUGAAGAUGAGAUGGUUGUAGAUGUGCGGUGUUAUUUCUGAGGUCUCUGUUCUGUUCCAUUGGUCUAUUUGUCUGUUUUGGUGCCAGUACCAUGCUGCUUUGGUUACUGUAGCUGUGUAGUAUAACUUGAAGUCAGGUAGCAUGAUGCUUCCUGCUUUGUUCUUUUUGCUUAGGACUGUCUUGGCUAUACAGGGUCUUCUUUGAUUCUGUAUGAAAUUUAAAGUAGUUUUCUCCAAUUCUGUGAAGAAUGUCAAUGGUGGUUUGAUGGAAAUAGCAUUGAAUGUACAAAUUACUUUGGGCAGUAUGGCCAUUGUCACGACAUUGAUUCUUCCUAUCCAUGAGGAUGGAAUUUUUUUUCCAUUUGUUUGUGCCCCCUCUUAUUUCCUUGAGCAGUGGUUUGUAGUUCCCCUUGAAGAGGUCCUAUACAUCCCUUCUUAGCUACACUCCUA
rnacentral:lncRNA from 1 species